rnacentral:pre_miRNA from 1 species
GUAUGUAUGGUCGAAGUAGGCAAAGUCUCACCUUUCCAGCAGAUCAACAAUGAACUUUGUUGAAUAGAUGCCUGGAUUUUAUAAGGUUGAGAUCCGCAAGUUUCGAGUAAGAUUUUGCCUACUCCGCCCAUACCAUAC